rnacentral:rRNA from 1 species
GAGGUAUAUUGGACACUGGGCGCAAGCCUGAUCCAGCCAUGCCGCGUGCAGGAUGACGGUCCUAUGGAUUGUAAACUGCUUUUAUACGAGAAGAAACACUAGCUUCGUGAAGUAGCUUGACGGUAUCGUAAGAAUAAGGAUCGGCUAACUCCGUGCCAGCAGCG